UAGGGAAUCUUCCACAAUGGACGCAAGUCUGAUGGAGCAACGCCGCGUGAGUGAAGAAGGUUUUCGGAUCGUAAAGCUCUGUUGUUGGUGAUGAAGGAUAGAGGCAGUAACUGGUCUUUAUUUGACGGUAAUCAACCAGAAAGUCACGGCUAACUACGUGCCAGCAGCCGCGGUAAUACGUAGGUGGCAAGCGUUGUCCGGAUUUAUUGGGCGUAAAGCGAGCGCAGGCGGAAUGAUAAGUCUGAUGUGAAAGCCCACGGCUCAACCGUGGAACUGCAUCGGAAACUGUCAUUCUUGAGUGCAGAAGAGGAGAGUGGAAUUCCAUGUGUAGCGGUGGAAUGCGUAGAUAUAUGGAAGAACACCAGUGGCGAAGGCGGCUCUCUGGUCUGCAACUGACGCUGAGGCUCGAAAGCAUGGGUAGCGAACAGG
rnacentral:rRNA from 1 species